rnacentral:rRNA from 1 species
UGAGCAAUCUGCCCUUCUCUUCGGAAUAAGCGUUGGAAACGACGUCUAAUGCCGAAUACGACCUCCUUUCACAUGAUCGGAGGUGGAAAGCUCCGGCGGAGAAGGAUGAGCUCGCGGCCUAUCAGCUAGUUGGUGUGGGUAAUGGCCCACCAAGGCGACGACGGGUAGCCGGCCUGAGAGGGUGACCCGGCCACACUGGGACUGAGACACGGCCCAGACUCCCGUACGGGGAGG